rnacentral:rRNA from 1 species
GACGAACGCUGGCGGCGUGCUUAACACAUGCAAGUCGAACGGAAAGGCCCUGCUUUUGUGGGGUGCUCGAGUGGCGAACGGGUGAGUAACACGUGAGUAACCUGCCCUUGACUUUGGGAUAACUUCAGGAAACUGGGGCUAAUACCGGAUAGGAGCUCCUGCUGCAUGGUGGGGGUUGGAAAGUUUCGGCGGUUGGGGAUGGACUCGCGGCUUAUCAGCUUGUUGGUGGGGUAGUGGCUUACCAAGGCUUUGACGGGUAGCCGGCCUGAGAGGGUAACCGGCCACACUGGGACUGAGAUACGGCACAGACUCCUACGGGAGGCAGCGGUUGGGAAUGUUGCACAAUGGGCGGAAGCCUGAUGCAGCAACGCCGCGUGCGGGAUGACGGCCUUCGGGUUGUAAAGCACUUUCGCCUGUGACGAGGCGUGAGUGACGGUAAUGGGUAAAGAAGCACCGGCUAACUACGUG